rnacentral:rRNA from 1 species
AACGAACGCUGGCGGCAGGCCUAACACAUGCAAGUCGAACGCCCUAGCAAUAGGGAGUGGCAGACGGGUGAGUAACGCGUGGGAAUGUGCCUUUCGGUUCGGAAUAACUCAGGGAAACUUGAGCUAAUACCGGAUACGCCCUUCGGGGGAAAGAUUUAUUGCCGAAAGAUCGGCCCGCGCCCGAUUAGCUAGUUGGUGAGGUAAAGGCUCACCAAGGCGACGAUCGGUAGCUGGUCUGAGAGGAUGAUCAGCCACACUGGGACUGAGACACGGCCCAGACUCCUACGGGAGGCAGCAGUGGGGAAUAUUGGACAAUGGGCGCAAGCCUGAUCCAGCCAUGCCGCGUGAGUGAUGAAGGCCCUAGGGUUGUAAAGCUCUUUCGCCAGGGACGAUAAUGACGGUACCUGGAUAAGAAGCCCCGGCUAACUUCGUGCCAGCCGCCGCGGUAA